rnacentral:antisense_RNA from 1 species
AUUGUUGGUAUUGAAAAUAACUGAUACCGUGCUUCCAGAAGAUUUUUCUAACAGUGUUUGCAGGCUAUAAAAUAGUGCUUUCACUUAGAAAAGGCCAGACAUGGUGGUUCAUGCCUGUAAUCCCUAGCACUUUGAGAGGCCAAGGCACCAUGCCGGGAGAUAAGGAUCCAACAUAAGACAAACAGGGCUGAUGCUUUUGGAAAGCUCAUAUUCAAGCUGGGGAGACAAACAACAUACAAGAGGGCUCUGAGAGAUUUCAUUUCUGUCCUGCUGAUGAAGUCUACGUUCAUUCAGGGCCUGCUGUGGAAGACCAGCCCCAAAGUUGCUGAACAGAAGUCUUUUGAGAGUCAGCAGAAAUCUUCCACUUUGCAUGGUUCUCUUGAUGUGAAAUCAUCUAUAUAGCCCCAGAAUUGGAAAAG